GUCGAUAUUAUCGUUGUUCAGCAGCAGGAUGGGACUUUCCGCAGCACACCAUGGUAUGUUCGGUUUGGUAAAUUUCAGGGCGUUCUAAAGGGUGCUGAGAAGAUUGUCCGCAUAUCUGUAAAUGGCGUUGAAUCUAAUUUCCAUAUGUAUCUUGAUAACUCUGGUGAGGCCUAUUUCAUAAAGGAAGCAGAAACUGGUCAAGGAAAUGAGGCUGAUAGAGUUACAG
rnacentral:misc_RNA from 1 species